UACGGAGGGAGCUAGCGUUGUUCGGAAUUACUGGGCGUAAAGCGCACGUAGGCGGCUACUCAAGUCAGAGGUGAAAGCUCGGGGCUCAACCCCGGAACUGCCUUUGAAACUAGGUAGCUAGAAUCUUGGAGAGGUCAGUGGAAUUCCGAGUGUAGAGGUGAAAUUCGUAGAUAUUCGGAAGAACACCAGUGGCGAAGGCGACUGACUGGACAAGUAUUGACGCUGAGGUGCGAAAGCGUGGGGAGCAAACAGG
rnacentral:rRNA from 1 species